AGCAUCAGCAUCGAAAGGAAAGGAGAAAGUCAUCGAGGACUAAAACGGGAGAAUUACGGUUAGUAGAAGUCAAGUGUCCCGGCUCAGCAUCUAGAACAAUCCCGACUCCAACACAAAUUUGGUGAUGUAUAUUUUUCUUUUGGGUAAAGGUGGCAUGUACAUAGGUGUUGUUUAGUCACUUGAAUAUGUAUAUUACUUUGGGUAGUGAAGGAUGAAUUAUAAAAUUUAGAUGGUUAAAUGAAAUGGUAAGGAAAGUACAUGAUAUUUUGAUACAUGAACAUUAAGUUGUUAAAUGAAUGAAGUUUUUAAUCAA